rnacentral:rRNA from 1 species
UACGUAGGGUGCAGGCGUUAAUCGGAAUUACUGGGCGUAAAGCGUGCGCAGGCGGUUUGCUAAGACAGGUGUGAAAUCCCCGGGCUUAACCUGGGAACUGCGCUUGUAACUGGCAAGCUGGAGUGUGGCAGAGGGGGGUGGAAUUCCACGUGUAGCAGUGAAAUGCGUAGAGAUGUGGAGGAACACCGAUGGCGAAGGCAGCCCCCUGGGCUAACACUGACGCUCAUGCACGAAAGCGUGGGAGCAAACAGG